AUGUCCUACGGGAGGCAGCAGUGGGGAAUAUUGCACAAUGGGGGAAACCCUGAUGCAGCGACGCCGCGUGAGUGAAGAAGUAUUUCGGUAUGUAAAGCUCUAUCAGCAGGGAAGAAACCCACCCUUUGGGGUGGCUGACGGUACCUGACUAAGAAGCCCCGGCUAACUACGUGCCAGCAGCCGCGGUAAUACGGAGGAUGCGAGCGUUAUCCGGAUUUAUUGGGUUUAAAGGGUGCGUAGGCGGUCUGUUAAGUCAGCGGUAAAAUUGCGGGGCUCAACCCCGUCGAGCCGUUGAAACUGGCAGA
rnacentral:rRNA from 1 species